rnacentral:rRNA from 1 species
AUUGCGUGCCAGCAGUCGCGGUAAGACGAAUAAGACUAGCGUUAUUCAUAUUUAGUAGGUUUAAAGGGUACUUAGACAUCGAAUCAGUCGUAUAGGGACUAAUUUGAUAGAGUUAAAUGUGAGGGGGCUGGAAGUCUAGUGGAGCAGAGAUAAAUGUUACAGUACAUUAAUUUGAAAAAACGAACGUCAGAUAAAGUAGAAAUAUAUUUUUUUAAGAAA